rnacentral:lncRNA from 1 species
CCCGCCGCCUUCCUCACCUGCCGCCUCCUCCCCUGCCGCCUUCUUCCCCGCCGCCUUCAUCCCCGCCGCCUUCCUCCCCUGCCGCCUCCUCCCCUGCCGCCUUCUUCCCCGCCGCCUUAUUCCCCGCAGGCUCCUCCCCUGCCACCUCCUUCCCCGCCGCCUUCCUCACCUGCCGCCUUCUUCCCCGCCGCCUUCCUCACCUGCCGCCUCCUUCCCCUGCCGCCUUCUUCCCCGCCGCCUUCAUCCCCGCCGCCUUCCUCCCCUGCCGCCUCCUCCCCUGCCGCCUUCUUCCCCGCCGCCUUAUUCCCCGCAGGCUCCUCCCCUGCCACCUCCUUCCCCGCCGCCUUCCUCACCUGCCGCCUUCUUCCCCGCCGCCUUCAUCCCCUGCCGCCUUCUUCCCCUGCCGCCUCCUCCCCUGCCGCCUUCAUCCCCUGCCGCCUUCUUCCCCGCCGCCUUCUUUCCCUGCCGCCUCCUCCCCUGCCGCCUUCUUCCCCACCGCCUUCAUCCCCUGCCGCCUUCUUCCCCUGCCGCCUUCUUCCCCGCCGCCUUCAUCCCCUGCCGCCUUCUUCCCCGCCGCCUUCAUCCCCUGCCGCCUUCUUCCCCGCCGCCUUCAUCCCCUGCCGCCUUCUUCCCCGCCGCCUUCAUCCCCUGCCGCCUUCUUCCCCGCCGCN